UUGGAGGGCAAGUCUGGUGCCAGCAGCCGCGGUAAUUCCAGCUCCAAUAGCGUAUAUUAAAGUUGUUGCAGUUAAAAAGCUCGUAGUUGAAUUUCGGGAUCAGAGUGUCGGUCGUGCCUCGGUACGCACUGGUAUUAUUGGUUCCUACCUUCUGAAGAGCCGCGAUGUCAUUAAUUUGGUGUCGUGGGGAAUCAGGACUGUUACUUUGAAAAAAUUAGAGUGUUUAAAGCAGGCUUACGCUUGAAUACAUUAGCAUGGAAUAAUGAAAUAGGACGUUCGAUCCUAUUUUGUUGGUUUCUAGGAUUGACGUAAUGAUUAAUAGGGAUAGUUGGGGGCAUUAGUAUUCAAUUGUCAGAGGUGAAAUUCUUGGAUUUAUUGAAGACUAACUACUGCGAAAGCAUUUGCCAAGGAUGUUUUCAUUAAUCAAGAACGAAAGUUAGGGGAUCGAAGACGAUCAGAUACCGUCGUAGUCUUAACCAUAAACUAUGCCGACUAGGGAUCGGAUGAUGUUAUUUUUAAUGACUCAUUCGGCGCCUUACGGGAAACCAAAGUGUUUGGGUAAUC
rnacentral:rRNA from 1 species